rnacentral:pre_miRNA from 1 species
UUCUAUAUUGUCCUCAUUGUACAUGCUGUGUGUAUUUGUCACGUACACAGCGCAUGCAAUGUGGACAUAAUGGAG